GGGAUAACAGUUAGAAAUGGCUGCUAAUACCGCAUAACCCGCUGGGGUCGCAUGACUCUGACGGAAAAGAUUGUAUCGGUGUAAGAUGGACCCGCGUCUGAUUAGCUGGUUGGUGAGGUAACGGCUCACCAAGGCGACGAUCAGUAGCCGACCUGAGAGGGUGAUCGGCCACAUUGGGACUGAGACACGGCCCAAACUCCUACGGGAGGCAGCAGUGGGGAAUAUUGCACAAUGGGGGAAACCCUGAUGCAGCAACGCCGCGUGAGUGAAGAAGUAUUUCGGUAUGUAAAGCUCUAUCAGCAGGGAAGAAAUUGACAGUACCUGACUAAGAAGCCCCGGCUAACUACGUGCCAGCAGCCGCGGUAAUACGUAGGGGGCAAGCGUUAUCCGGAUUUACUGGGUGUAAAGGGAGCGUAGACGGUUAUGCAAGUCAGAAGUGAAAGCCCAAAGCUCAACUUCGGGACUGCUUUUGAAACUGUGUAACUAGAGUGCAGGAGGGGUAAGCGGAAUUCCUAGUGUAGCGGUGAAAUGCGUAGAUAUUAGGAGGAACACCGGCGGCGAAGGCGGCUUACUGGACUGUAACUGACGUUGAGGCUCGAAAGCGUGGGGAGCAAACAGGAUUAGAUACCCUGGUAGUCCACGCCGUAAAC
rnacentral:rRNA from 1 species